rnacentral:rRNA from 1 species
CCUACGGGUGGCUGCAGUGGGGAAUAUUGGACAAUGGGCGAAAGCCUGAUCCAGCCAUGCCGCGUGUGUGAAGAAGGCCUUCGGGUUGUAAAGCACUUUCAGUGGGGAAGAAAGCCUUGGGGCUAAUACCCUCGAGGAAGGACAUCACCCACAGAAGAAGCACCGGCUAACUCCGUGCAGCAGCCGCGGUAAUACGGAGGGUGCGAGCGUUAAUCGGAAUUACUGGGCGUAAAGCGCGCGUAGGCGGUCUGAUAAGCCGGUUGUGAAAGCCCCGGGCUCAACCUGGGAACGGCAUCCGGAACUGUCAGGCUAGAGUGCAGGAGAGGAAGGUAGAAUUCCCGGUGUAGCGGUGAAAUGCGUAGAGAUCGGGAGGAAUACCAGUGGCGAAGGCGGCCUUCUGGACUGACACUGACGCUGAGGUGCGAAAGCGUGGGUAGCAAACAGGAUUAGAUACCCGGGUAGUC